rnacentral:rRNA from 1 species
UGGGGAAUAUUGCACAAUGGGCGCAAGCCUGAUGCAGCCAUGCCGCGUGUAUGAAGAGGGCCUUCGGGUUGUAAAGUACUUUCAGCGGGGAGGAAGGCGAUAAGGUUAAUAACCUUGUCGAUUGACGUUACCCGCAGAAGAAGCACCGGCUAACUCCGUGCCAGCAGCCGCGGUAAUACGGAGGGUGCAAGCGUUAAUCGGAAUUACUGGGCGUAAAGCGCACGCAGGCGGUCUGUCAAGUCGGAUGUGAAAUCCCCGGGCUCAACCUGGGAACUGCAUUCGAAACUGGCAGGCUAGAGUCUUGUAGAGGGGGGUAGAAUUCCAGGUGUAGCGGUGAAAUGCGUAGAGAUCUGGAGGAAUACCGGUGGCGAAGGCGGCCCCCUGGACAAAGACUGACGCUCAGGUGCGAAAGCGUGGGGAGCAAACA